GGGCCGGUAGUUCAGCGGUACGAUCUUCAGCACGGGUACAUACGCUCGGUUCGCAGCCGAGAAGUCGCGGGUUCAAAUCCCGCCCGGUCCACCA
rnacentral:tRNA from 1 species